rnacentral:rRNA from 1 species
GAGAGCCCCGUAAAGCCUUGGAAAGUAAGCCAUGUGAGGUGUUUUUGACGAGNCNGGNUUGUUUGGGAAUCAGCCCUAAAUGGGAGGUAAAUUCUCUAAAGCAAAUAUAGGCAAGAGACCGAUAGCGAACAAGUACCGUGAGGGAAAGAUGAAAAGAACUUUGAAAAGAGAGUUAAACAGUAUGUGAAAUUGUCAAAAGGGAACGGCGUGGAAUCAGUCAUGCCGUCCUGGGAUUCAGCGUCGAGGCGGCCCCCAGCUAGGGUUCGGAGCGCGUGUACUUUCGGGGCAUUAGGCAGGUCAACGACAGUUCUUUCUCGCGUCGAAGGACCUCGCGGUAGGUAGCCAGCCUUCAAAGGAGGGUGAUAUAGCCGCUUGAACGCCCGAUUAGCGUGUGGAGGGAUUGAGGACUGCAGGGCGCAUUGGGGUCCCGGUGGCGGGCGUAAGGUUUUCGGUAGACUGCGUGCAGGCUGCUGGAAGCACGAAACUCCUUUUUAUCCGCCGGGUCGAUCUCUCCGUUUCCCUAAGGUUGUUGGAAAAUGGUUUCAUACCACCCGUCUUAAACACGGCCAAGGAGUCUAACAUGAUGCGAGUGUAGGGUAUUGAAACCCGACGCGAGUCAAAGCAUUCAGAUGGAUCCGUCCUCCCUUUAUUGCGGGGGGUGGUGCACCGUCGGCCGGGUCAGGAUAUUUUACAUUGAAAGAUACAANNNGCAUGNNUGUUGGGNCCCUNAAGAUGGUNANCNNUGCCU